UAGCACCACCUGACUCCAUGCCGAACUCAGAAGUGAAAUGUUGUAAUGCCGAUGGUAGUGUGGGGAUUCCCCAUGUGAGAGUAGGUC
rnacentral:rRNA from 1 species